UUGGGAAUAUUGGACAAUGGGGGAAACCCUGAUCCAGCAAUGCCGCGUGGGUGAUGGAGGCCUUCGGGUUGUAAAGCCCUUUUGGCGGGGACGAUGAUGACGGUACCCGCAGAAUAAGCCCCGGCUAACUUCGUGCCAGCAGCCGCGGUAAUACGAAGGGGGCUAGCGUUGUUCGGAAUUACUGGGCGUAAAGGGCGCGUAGGCGGCCGUGCAAGUCAGAUGUGAAAGCCCUGGGCUCAACCCAGGAGGUGCAUUUGAUACUGCAUGGCUAGAGUGUCGGAGAGGAUGGUGGAAUUCCCAGUGUAGAGGUGAAAUUCGUAGAUAUUGGGAAGAACACCGGUGGCGAAGGCGACCAUCUGGACGACAACUGACGCUGAGGCGCGAAAGCGUGGGGAGCAAACAGGAUUAGAUACCCUGGUAGUCCACGCCGUAAACUAUGCGUGUUGGACGUUGGCGAGCCUAGCUCGUCGGUGUCGCAGCUAACGCGUUAAACACGCCGCCUGGGGAGUACGGCCGCAAGGUUA
rnacentral:rRNA from 1 species